rnacentral:rRNA from 1 species
CAGUAGCCGCGGUAAUACGUAGGUGGCGAGCGUUGUCCGGAAUUAUUGGGCGUAGAGGGAGCGCAGGCGGACAUAUAAGUCCAUCUUAAAAGUGCGGGGCUCAACCCCGUGAGGGGAUGGAAACUGUAUGCCUUGAGUGCAGGAGAGGAAAGCGGAAUUCCCAGUGUAGCGGUGAAAUGCGUAGAUAUUGGGAGGAACACCAGUGGCGAAGGCGGCUUUCUGGACUGUAACUGACGCUGAGGCUCGAAAGCCAGGGGAGCGAACGGGAUUAGAUACCCCUGUAGUCCCUGUCUCUUAUACA